rnacentral:lncRNA from 10 species
UGCUUUUGGUCUUAAAAUUUUACUUUAACGCACUUAGGAUUUGUCGUCAGUAAUUUGUUAUGCACUAUCUAGACUAAGAAUAGGUAUUAAUUUACUAGAAUUGUCAAAUGAAAUAUUUCAAGCAAAGUUUGCAUAAUGAAUGCAAGUUUAAACCAAUUAAAUGUGUUCACUUUUUAGCAAGCUAAGCUGCUCCUUAUUUCUCCUGUAGUAGACACAAUCACAGUUAAUCUUUGCACAAUGCAUCGCAUUCUCCAUGCAACCUAACAGAGCGGUCUGGGAUAGAGCCUGAACUUUGGGUCCCUUGGGGCCCAACAGGCAAGGUUCAGAUCUGGGCUCUACCACAAACCAUCUGUGUAACCUGAACCUCCCUAGUCUUCAGUUUCCUCAUCUGCUUUAAAAAAUUGCUAGAACAUAGUUCUAUGUAAAUGUUCGGUGUUAAAAUUUAUUUGGUAUCUACUGUAUGUAAGAUAUGGCCUCUGCUCUCAAAAAUAUGUAGUCCCAGAAGUGAUAUAAUAUGUUCACGGAGACGUACUAUUAAAAAGUGCCACAAAAAA